GGUCGAAUGGUGUAGUGGUUAUCACUCCUGUCUUACAUUCUGUGUACACAGGCGGCCGCCGGUUCGAUCCCGGCUUCGACCA